CUUCGAUCUGGAAUUACUCGGUUUGCUACCAAUUUUAUUGCAUUAAAGUCAUUACAGCAAAAAAGGCAAGGCUUGAAGGCAAUGGCUAGCUCACAAGAGUGGUCUGAAUCUAGAUAUUCAAAAUUGAGUGAUGGAAAGAAGAUAGAAAAGGCCAUUCUUUCCUCUAGAUUUUGGGAUACUAUAGCAGAAAUCAUAAAAGGUGUGGAACCACUUUAUAUUGUCCUCCGUAAGGUCGAUAUGGACAAGCGUCCACAAAUGCCGUAUCUUAAAUAUAUGUUGAUUUCAGCAAGAGAGGAGGUCAGGAAAGCAUUCAAAGAUGAUUUUAAGGCCGACCAAUAUGUACGAAUCAUUGAUCGUCGGACCGAUGUUCAUAUGGAUCAAGAUAUCCAUAAUGCAGCGUAUUAUCUAAACCCAGCAAUUCAAUAUCGAUAUGCUCUCGGAACGCAAAAUAAUUUCCUAACGACACUACGAAAUGUUAUAUAUCGGCUCUUGCCAAACACUACCGAGGCAACCGAUGCUCUUAUGGAGGGUCGAUUAUUUCGAGAAACAAUUGGUUCAUUCUCCGACGUUGUAGCUGUAUCGUGCCGUUACACUAUGGAUCCUGUCGAGUGGUGGCUACAAUUUGGAGGCGAUGCACCACAUUUAAGGAAGGUUGCCGUUCGUAUACUUUCACAGACAACAACAUCUAGUGGUUGCGAACGUAAUUGGUCAACGUUUGCAUUGAUUCAUACGAAGGUC